AUAUACGACCGUACCGCAAACCGACACUGGUGCGCGAGAUGAGUAUUCUAAGGCGCUUGAGAGAACUCAGGAGAAGGAACUCGGCAAAUUGACACCGUAACUUCGGAAGAAGGUGUGCCCUAUUAGUGUGUAGUGAACAACGAAGCAUGAAUGGGUUGCAAAAAAUCGGUGGCUGCGACUGUUUAUUAAAAACACAGCACUCUGCAAACACGAAAGUGGACGUAUAGGGUGUGACGCCUGCCCGGUGCUGGAAGAUUAAAUGAUGGGGUGCAAGCUCUUGAUUGAAGUCCCAGUAAACGGCGGCCGUAACUAUAACGGUCCUAAGGUAGCGAAAUUCCUUGUCGGGUAAGUUCCGACCUGCACGAAUGGCGUAACGAUGGCCACACUGUCUCCUCCUGAGACUCAGCGAAGUUGAAAUGUUUGUGAUGAUGCAAUCUCCCCGCGGAAAGACGGAAAGACCCCAUGAACCUUUACUGUAGCUUUGUAUUGGACUUUGAACAGAUCUGUGUAGGAUAGGUGGGAGGCUUUGAAGCAGGGUCGCUAGAUCUUGUGGAGCCAACGUUGAAAUACCACCCUGGUGUGUUUGAGGUUCUAACCUAGGUCCAUUAUCUGGAUCGGGGACAGUGCAUGGUAGGCAGUUUGACUGGGGCGGUCUCCUCCCAAAGCGUAACGGAGGAGUUCGAAGGUACGCUAGUUACGGUCGGACAUCGUGACGAUAGUGCAAUGGCAUAAGCGUGCUUAACUGCGAGACUGACAAGUCGAGCAGAUGCGAAAGCAGGACAUAGUGAUCCGGUGGUUCUGUAUGGAAGGGCCAUCGCUCAACGGAUAAAAGGUACUCUGGGGAUAACAGGCUGAUACCGCCCAAGAGUUCAUAUCGACGGCGGUGUUUGGCACCUCGAUGUCGGCUCAUCUCAUCCUGGGGCUGUAGCCGGUCCCAAGGGUAUGGCUGUUCGCCAUUUAAAGAGGUACGUGAGCUGGGUUUAAAACGUCGUGAGACAGUUUGGUCCCUAUCUUCCGUGGGCGCUGCAGAUUUGAGGAAGCCUGCUCCUAGUACGAGAGGACCGGAGUGGACACACCUCUGGUGUAUCGGUUGUCACGCCAGUGGCAUUGCCGAGUAGCUAAGUGUGGAAGAGAUAACCGCUGAAAGCAUCUAAGCGGGAAACUCGUUUCAAGAUGAGAUCUGCCGGGGCCUUGAGCCCCCUAAAGAGUCGUUCAAGACCAGGACGUUGAUAGGUCAGGUGUGGAAGCGUAA
rnacentral:rRNA from 1 species